rnacentral:rRNA from 1 species
UACGUAGGGCGCAAGCGUUAUCCGGAAUUAUUGGGCGUAAAGAGCUCGUAGGCGGUUUGUCGCGUCUGCCGUGAAAGUCCGGGGCUCAACUCCGGAUCUGCGGUGGGUACGGGCAGACUAGAGUGAUGUAGGGAGACUGGAAUUCCUGGUGUAGCGGUGAAAUGCGCAGAUAUCAGGAGGAACACCAAUAGCGAAAGGGCAGCUCGCUGGGACGUUUACUGACACUGAGGGCGCGAAAGCGUGGGAGCGAACAGGAUAGAUACCCCUAGU